CUGCAACUCGACUCCGUGAAGCUGGAUUCGCUAGUAAUCGCGCAUCAGCCAUGGCGCGGUGAAUACGGUUCCCGGGCCUUGUACACACCGCCCGUCAAGCCAUGAAAGUCGGGGGGUGCUUGAAGUACGCUUACCGCAAGGGGCGUCCUAAGGCAAAACCGAUAAUUGGGGCUAAGUCGUAACAAGGUAAC
rnacentral:rRNA from 1 species